GCUCACUUCAGCAAAACAUGUGCCAAAAGCGGAACAAUACAGAGAAGAUUCGCAUGGCCCCAGCCCAAGGAUGAUGUGCAAAUUCACAAAACUUGCCAGAUUUUA
ensembl:snRNA U6 U6 spliceosomal RNA